rnacentral:rRNA from 1 species
GAUGAACGCUGGCGGCGUGCCUAAUACAUGCAAGUCGAGCGAACGGACGAGAAGCUUGCUUCUCUGAUGUUAGCGGCGGACGGGUGAGUAACACGUGGAUAACCUACCUAUAAGACUGGGAUAACUUCGGGAAACCGGAGCUAAUACCGGAUAAUAUUUUGAACCGCAUGGUUCAAAAGUGAAAGACGGUCUUGCUGUCACUUAUAGAUGGAUACGCGCUGCAUUAGCUAGUUGGUAAGGUAACGGCUUACCAAGGCAACGAUGCAUAGCCGACCUGAGAGGGUGAUCGGCCACACUGGAACUGAGACACGGUCCAGACUCCUACGGGAGGCAGCAGUAGGGAAUCUUCCGCAAAGGGCGAAAGCCUGACGGAGCAACGCCGCGUGAGUGAUGAAGGUCUUCGGAUCGUAAAACUCUGUUAUUAGGGAAGAACAUAUGUGUAAGUAACUGUGCACAUCUUGACGGUACCUAAUCAGAAAGCCACGGCUAACUACGUG